GCCGGGGAGAUAGCGGUGCCCUGUAUCUGAGAUCCGCUUUAGCAGAGGUGAUACCCUGCCGAGGGCAGUAUAUCGCAUGGCAGUUUUCUCUCAGGGUCGUUGAAGCCGGGGUCCCGCGCAAUAGGAAUUUGUGAACCGUGUCAGGGCAGGAAUGCAGCAGCACUAAGCAAAACCUCUUAUGUGCCGCGGGAGUGCCUUAGCCGAGAUCCUGAAGGGAAGAUACGCAUGUCU
rnacentral:SRP_RNA from 1 species